rnacentral:rRNA from 1 species
GAUGAACGCUGGCGGCGUGCCUAAUACAUGCAAGUCGAGCGAACGGACGAGAAGCUUGCUUUUCUGAUGUUAGCGGCGGACGGGUGAGUAACACGUGGAUAACCUACCUAUAAGACUGGGAUAACUUCGGGAAACCGGAGCUAAUACCGGAUAAUAUUUUGAACCGCAUGGUUCAAAAGUGAAAGACGGUCUUGCUGUCACUUAUGGAUGGAUCCGCGCUGCAUUGGCUAGUUGGUAAGGUAACGGCUUACCAAGGCAACGAUGCAUAGCCGACCUGAGAGGGUGAUCGGCCACACUGGAACUGAGACACGGUCCAGACUCCUACGGGAGGCAGCAGUAGGGAAUCUUCCGCAAUGGGCGAAAGCCUGACGGAGCAACGCCGCGUGAGUGAUGAAGGUCUUCGGAUCGUAAAACUCUGUUAUUAGGGAAGAACAUAUGUGUAAGUAACUGUGCACAUCUUGACGGUACCUAAUCAGAAAGCCACGGCUAACUACGUG